UACGUAGGUGGCAAGCGUUAUCCGGAUUUAUUGGGCGUAAAGGGAACGCAGGCGGUCUUUUAAGUCUGAUGUGAAAGCCUUCGGCUUAACCGGAGUAGUGCAUUGGAAACUGGGAGACUUGAGUGCAGAAGAGGAGAGUGGAACUCCAUGUGUAGCGGUGAAAUGCGUAGAUAUAUGGAAGUACACCAGUGGCGAAAGCGGCUCUCUGGUCUGUAACUGACGCUGAGGUUCGAAAGCGUGGGUAGCAAACAGG
rnacentral:rRNA from 1 species